GAGGGCCGAGGAGGGCGGGCCCAGGGCCGAGAAGGCGGGGCCGUGGUCAGUAGCCCCGCCCCGUAUGUGAGAGCCGACUGAGGGAUGGGAGGGUGCUGUCCGGCUCAGCAGCUGGGGUUGUGGCUGGCGGCGACACGGAGCUGCGCGGCAUUGUGGGAGGCGCCGGGGCCGGUGGGCCGAGCCUGUAAUCUUCCUUGCCUCCAGCCGCUCACUGGCUUCGGGUCCGCCCGGUUAGAGACCCUGCAGCUGCCCCCGCUGCUCUGCUGGCAGAAGGAGCGGCCCGGCCUUCUCCCAGGGCUGCUCUGAACGGCUUUUCCUUUGGAGUGACUGUGAUUUGCUGUCCACUAUGGCAACCAGUUAUGACUGCCGCAAGUGAGAAGUAAAAAUGAAGAGAAGGAAUCAGACGUAACACAGGUCUCACUGGAAAGGCUGAGGCGGGAGGAUUGCCACAAGUUGGAAGGAGUGUCGGGCUGCGUGGCCACCCUUAGCAACAGGCAUUGUCAGACCGCAAAGAGGGAAUCAGAUUCUAGAAGUUAAAGAGCUGAGAGAGUAGGGCAGGCGUUGGAGCGAGUAGGGCGGAUAUAUUGCCGUAAGUUCAAGGCCAGCCUGGGCUGCAUACUUUGGUUCCAGGACAAUACAGGUUACAGAAUGAGAUUGUCAAAAAAGAGAAAGAAAUCUUGCAUUCUCCAAGGACUAGUUUGAAUUGCUUUUCCUCUGAGUAGCUGUGAUUCAGCAUCCCCAACCCCCCUUAGUAGCAAGCAAUGAUAGAGGUAACAGACAAGAAAAAAAAGGAAAGAAAAGAAAAAAAAAACAAACCAGCAAAUGAAUCAGAGUUAGUCCCUCUGCCACGCACGGAGAACCGAGGAAGGAGAGACCUAAGCAGAGGAAGGCAGCAUCUGAAGAAUUUGCUGAGAAGCUUUUCUUCUGGUAGUCAGAAACAGCAUUGGAGGAUGGUCUUCAGUGACCCCGUGGGACUGGGGUCCUCCCUUAACCCUGCUGGACUCUUUUCAAAGGAGUCUUCUAGCCUUAAGCCCCAGGAUCGUGUACCUGUCAGGCUUUCCUGAGAUGAUGCCAAAUGUCUUGGGUAGGAUUGAUAAACCGUUCAUACUUCCUGCUUCUGAUUCUAUUCCUGGAAAAGCACCCAACAAGACUGAGAACACUCUGUGACGUAAUCAGAUUGUAGACAACAACUUGAGAGGAAGGCUUCAGAAGAGAAGCAACUCCAAAGAGCAGCCACUGCGGAGAGCGGCGUGAAAAGAGGCGCUGCCCUGGAGAAGCAUCACCAAGCACGCCCUCAUUCUGAAGCGAGGCAGGAGGAAAGGCUAUGCUACACGGUGACAAAAGAGCCCUGCGCUCUGGAGUGUGUGAGGCCUCUCAACAGCUGAGAUCAAGAACUGCAGCACGGAGAGUACUUUCUGUGAAUGUUGCUGACAUGGGGCCCAUAUGUAUCUUAGAAAAAAAUACUUACAAAUAAAAAUGCUAAAAUACCAGUAAAUCAGGCUUCAGGCUUGGAUCCAUUUGAUCAUGGACAGGACCUACCUCACUUUUCUCCUGGAGAUUUUUCUGGGCUCUCAUAGCAAAACUGCUAACUUUUGUUCACAGCGAAGGUAAGCUACCUCGACUUUCUAUGUCCCUGACAUGUGGACUUAGCCACUUACAUGUGGCUAAGUGUGAGUCUGCUGGGGUCACCUCAGGAAACACAUUGUGCUCUCAUUUAAGUUCCUCAGCAGGCCUUUGGUGACAAAAACUUCAGAGCCCACAGGGCUCUGUGUCCUAAUGUACAGACGGUGGAUUAGAGCUCUCCUUCAUACGCCCACACCCACGCUGUCAGGUGUGCCUGACUCUCUUCCUGACGGCUCUCUGUUCACUGUCCCCUUUCAUGUCUAAAGUCUAUGUGACAAUGUGUUUUAAUAAAAACUCCAUCUCUGCCUUCUA